rnacentral:rRNA from 1 species
AUGGUUGCCGAUUUGAGGCAAAAGAGCUCUGCAGUCUGCACACCCAUUUGCUGCCCUGAACCACCCCAUCCGCCUCCCCUGCUUCCUCCUCCUUCCUCCCGCAUUCCCCUUCCCCUCCUCUGCGCCGGCAACACGAUGGUUCGCACUCGCGGCGGCAAGGAGAACUGGGUGUUGCCGCCGGACGCUGUGCAGCUCAAGGAGGAAGACGGGGAGACCGCAGCGACGGUGAUGGUGGCCACCGCCGCCGCCGCCGCCGCCCCGAGAGUGGAGAUCGUCGUCGACUUCGACAAGUCCCUGCUGGACUGCCCCCUCUGCUCCUUGCCGCUCAAACCUCCCGUCUUCCAGUGCCCGGCGAAGCACGCGGCGUGCGGCCCCUGCGCCGCGAACCAGGCCAACCAGUGCCCGGCGUGCGACGGCGCGUACGAGCGCGACGAGGGCGCGGACCGCUACCUCCUGGCGGUCAGGGUGCCCUGCCCCAACCAGGCGUACGGCUGCGGGAGCUCCGUGGUGUACUGCAUGGCGGGCGACCACCGGCUGGUGUGCCCGCACGCGCCGUGCCGCUGCCCGGAGGCCGGAUGCGGCUUCCUCGGCGCGCCGCCCGCUCUCCGCCUCCACCUCGCCGAGCGCCACGCCUGGCCCGUGACCGACAUCGCGUACGGCUCCGUGCUCGAGAUCCAGAUGCAGGGGCGGCGGCUGCUGUCCGCGGAGGGCGGGUUGCGGCUGUUCCUGCUCGUGGCGAGCGAGCGCGGCGUCAAGGUGGUGCGCGUGAGCGCGGCCGUGGACGAGGACGGCCCAUCGGCGUCAUGGUACAGGUGCAAGGUGUGGGUGCACGCGCCCGUGGACACGGACACCGGCCACAUGGACGUCCUCAUGCUGGACGCCAAGGUGGAGAGCUGUGCGGUGCCCUCCGAGGAGGCGGCCAUGAGCGCGGGUGGCAGGUACCUGCCGGUGCCGUCCGACGUGCCGGCGCCGGAUGGAGGAGGGAUCGUCCUGCGUCUCCGCAUCGACAAGCAGGUCACGGCGAGCAGGAGCCCCCGUUCCCGUGCCUGA